rnacentral:snRNA from 1 species
AGAUGUGAGAGUGAUCUGGCUGCGACAUCUGUCACCCCACUGAUCGCCAGGGUUGAUUCCGCUGAUCUGGCUGGCUAGGCGGGUGUCCCCCUCCUCCCUCUCCAGUCCAUGUGCGUCCCUCCCUAAGCUGCGUGCUCCAUAGUCAAAUAGGAGAAGACCUGUCUUCAGUCAAGGGUAUACAAGUAGCUGUGCUCCCCUGCUAGAACCUCCAGACAUGCUCUCAAAAGUACAAAUUGGUGGAUGCAAAAUAGUCAUGGUGCUGUAAAGUACAGCAUACGGAAUAUAGUCAUAUUACUAUUGUA